rnacentral:lncRNA from 1 species
GGAUGUGCUGCCCUUCUCCGAUUCUUGGCUUGGAUCAAGGCUGGAGAAAAAGACUGAGACAGGUGGGCAGAAAGAUGCCUAGAGAAGCUGAACAGGGAAUUUGGUUUCCAAGGCAACCGAGAGCUAGUCUUCAACUCCUCUGAGGAUCAUUCUUUGUCCUGCUAAUAGCCAGGAGUGGGCUUCCCAGGAAAAUGAUUCCGUCUGAUUUCCUUUCUUCUGCCCAGUGCUUGCCUCUCAGCCAUGAUGACUUGGCCAGUCUGCCUCAGAAGAUAAGGUCCCUUGUUCUUGGACUUCCAGCAUCCUGAACUACAAAGCAAACAACUUCUGUUCUUUAAAACUUACCCGCUGUGGCUUUGUGUUACAGCUACAAGAAGACAGUAUCUUUUUUUGCUUUUUAAGAGUUCUUUUUGCUUAUACAUAUGUAUGUGGGUGUCUGGGGCUAGAAGAGGCUAUUGGAUCUCUUGGAAUUGGGGCUAGCAAUGUGCGUGCUGGGUAGGAACCAAACUUGGAUCCUCUGGAAGGGCAGCAAGCACUCUUACCCUCUGAGUCGCCACUCCUCAGAGCACCUCCAGGCCUGCCUGUGAAAUUACAGAGCCUGGGGUUCUGAUGUGCCUGUGCCACAGGGACAAAGCCUGAGUCUGACCCCCAGGAAGAAAGUGCACAUUCAUGGUAUGCAUGUCUUGGAGCCCGUAGGCGACUCUCCUGUGUCC